GCCAGGCAUGGUGGCGCAUGCCUGUAAUCCCAGCUACUCAGGAGGCUGAGAUAGGAGAAUUGCUUGAACCUGGGAGGUGGAGGUUGCAGUGAGCCAAGAUUGUGCCACUGCACUCCAGCCUGGGCAACAGAGUGAGACUCUGUCUCAA
rnacentral:SRP_RNA from 1 species